rnacentral:rRNA from 1 species
UGGGAUGGACCUGCGGUGCAUUAGCUAGUUGGUAAGGUAACGGCUUACCAAGGCGAUGAUGCAUAGCCGAGUUGAGAGACUGAUCGGCCACAAUGGAACUGAGACACGGUCCAUACUCCUACGGGAGGCAGCAGUAGGGAAUCUUCCACAAUGGGCGCAAGCCUGAUGGAGCAACACCGCGUGAGUGAAGAAGGGUUUCGGCUCGUAAAGCUCUGUUGUUGGAGAAGAACGUGCGUGAGAGUAUCUGUUCACGCAGUGACGGUAUCCAACCAGAAAGUCACGGCUAACUACGUGCCAGCAGCCGCGGUAAUACGUAGGUGGCAAGCGUUAUCCGGAUUUAUUGGGCGUAAAGCGAGCGCAGGCGGUUUUUUAAGUCUGAUGUGAAAGCCUUCGGCUUAACCGGAGAAGUGCAUCGGAAACCGGGCAACUUGAGUGCAGAAGAGGACAGUGGAAUUCCAUGUGUAGCGGUGGAAUGCGUAGAUAUAUGGAAGAACACCAGUGGCGAAGGCGGC